GGUCCAAAUUCGAAGUAAAGUAGAUUUGUACAAUCAGUUGACCCUACUAAAAUACACUACUUUGAGUUUGGGCCC
rfam:Haemonchus contortus, ISE/inbred ISE, WGS project CAVP01000000 data, contig: Hcontortus_contig_pathogens_Hcontortus_scaffold_11452